AUUGAACGCUGGCGGCAGGCCUAACACAUGCAAGUCGAGCGAGCGGCGGACGUGUGAGUAAUGUCUGGGAAUUGCCCAGUCGAGGGGGAUAACUGUUGGAAACGACUGCUAAUACCGUAUACGCUUGUAUUGCCCAGGUGGGAUUAGCUAGUGGGUGAGGUAAUGGCUCACCAAGGCGACGAUCCCUAGCUGGUCUGAGAGGAUGAUCAGCCACACUGGAACUGAGACACGGUCCAGACUCCUACGGGAGGCAGCAGGGGGGAAUAUUGCACAAUGGGGGAAAGCCUGAUGCAGCCAUGCCGCGUGUAUGAAGAAGGCCUUCGGGUUGUAAAGCACUUUCAGCGGGGAGGCGUUACUCGCAGAAGAAGCACCGGCUAACUCCGUGCCAGCAGCCGCGGUAAUUC
rnacentral:rRNA from 1 species